CAUGCUUUGUCUCUCUGUCUCUCAAAAAUGAAUAAACAUUUAAAAAAAUAUUUUAAAAUGUACAUAAAAAGAAAAGCUUACUACUUUGUGCCAUGACCCGUCUCUCAGUUACCAGCAUAUUGCCUCAAUGAAAGUAGAUCCCCAAUAUCUAUUGUUUGACAGUGGCGGUAUCUAUUGUGCUAAUUACCUACAGUCCAUAACUUUUAGAUAAGAUACUACAGUAGACAUUGUUGGAACUUCACCCAUUUCCUCGUGGAUUCUCUUUUCAUUUCAGUGGAAGGCAGCCCCUGAUUCCUACAACACAGCAGUAGCACGGUUAUCUCAGGGCUGCCCUAGGGAAGUUGUUGCAGAGGCAGCCCUUAACUAAUAACUGAUGAGCAUGAGGGGUAAUUCGCCAAGGUCGUUCUGAGUUUCUCAGGGGGAUAAAUUUUGGUCAUCCAGUGUGGUGACUGGCUUAAAUAACACACCCUUUAUGGAUUGUUUUCCCUCUACCACCUCUCCACUCUCCAGUUGUACGGGGUGAGUUAUACACAAACAUGACAUUCUUCAAACAUGCACAAUAACUGCCAUGACUCAACAACUUUUUGUUUGCAAGUAAUGGAAAUUGAUUUUGUCUAAAGUAUGUGAAUAAGAGGGAUUUAUUUAUGGUUACUGGUGCUUACUCCCUGGAUGGCCAGGAGAUCAAGCACACCUAAGAUUGCUUCAGGGUCUGCUUCUGGAGAGAACUCAACUAAUACAUGGAAUUCUUAGGAAAGCAUGUUAUCUUUAUCAUUUCGUGGCAAAAUAGUUCCUAGAAUUGUACCAGAGAUAAUUUCUGGUCAAAAGUCAGUUAGAUUGCACACCCCCUGACAAGAAUGAUGUCUGAUUUGUCUUUAUCUGUUGUCUAGUACAGUGGAUAUCACAGAGUGGAUAAUGAAUAAACAUCUGCUGAAUGAAUCUCCAUGGUCUAAGUAUCUUGUCCACUGGACCUGAUAAUGCCAGGGGCAUGGCAAUUACAGCAGACUAGAACUGAACCAGGCUGAGGGAUGAAAGAGGCAUUUGUUUGUUUCAGCCAGUCCAUACCUCAAAACCAGGACUGAUUCUUAGGCAACACGUACUUAGAUGGUUGGACCAAUUAUCCAUGGCUGUCCAUCCUAACACCUGCUUUGCCUGUUGUGAUUGGUAUGGGCCCAGGCUCUCCCACUUAUUAAAUAGUUUCUUAUUAUCCAUGUUCAUAACCAUUUUUAUCAACUACUUUAUUUCAGAUGUGCUUAAAUCUUGCUCUUGAAAUCUGGAGAGAAAGCUCUCAUAUUCUUGCAUAUUCAUUGUUUUAUAUCUCUUCUCACUAUUUCCUUAGCACUUCAGAGAGAGAAAGAGGACGUCUUGGCCAAAGUCAUUGCCUAUUUCUAAAGCAAUGCACCUGAUCAUGCAUCCAUGCACGUAUUUGUUUUCCUCCUUCGGAAUUAUAUUUCUUUUCAUUGAUUGCACUGGCCUAGUGCCAGUCUCCUCUGUGCCAUGUUAGACAGCAUAAAUAUUAGUUUUGGUUGAUACCAUAGAAUAUUACUUAUGAUAUCCUGGGCAGUUUUAAGUCAGUGCUUAAAACCAAUCAUCAGAAAAUAAUGUUGUAGUAUCUAAUUAGGUAAAGCACUGUAAAAGGGACAAAGGGUAUAUACAAGAAUUUCAACAAUGAUAUUUGCCUUCUAAAUAUCUGAUUCUAAUCCAGGUGUGGUACAUAGUAUUUAUAUAGCCCCAGGCAAUUAAUUUAACCCUUGUGUCUCCUUUACUUAUAUGUCAAAUGAGGCUAAUAGCUACUGUGCAGGUUUGUUGUAAAAUUUUGAACACAUAAAUACUCCUUAACACAUAGUAGGCACUCAAAAAUGCAACUAACUGUAUCAGUCUAAUGUCUAAUGUCAUCAGUCUAAUUGCAAAGUUGAGAUGUAAAACACAUGCAACAGUCUAAAAUAUCACAUGAUAGAUAUCAAAAAGCAGGUACAUUUUUCACCUGUACAGAAUCUAUAGUACUGUGAAUUGGGGGGAAACAGCCAUUCUGGGCUGGAGAAAUCUAGGGAAGCCUUUAGGAGUAAGUGAAAUUAGAAUUGAGUAUUGGAGAAGGGGUAGACUUUGUAAAAACAUGCUCCCUGUCUGAAGAGGAGACAGUAUAAGGUGUGUGAAAGUCCCUGGGUGAGCUGCCUUAACCACACUGUAUUAGGCUUCCGGGCUCAGAGGCUGUGGACAGGGGUAGAAUGAGCCUAUGAGUUCUCUCUUUGAUCAUGAAGAGAUCAGAUUAAGCAAGUCAAAAUUUGGCUAUAACCACAUGUAAUUACUGCAGAAAAACAAGACUGUAAUAGGCUAAAUUUUGCGAGGAAGCAGACAGUGUAGGGGCAGAGGCUGAGAACUUUGCCGACGAGGUCCUGGCUUAUUCAAAGAUUAGAUGAAUACACUCAGUAUCUACUUUUUGAGAAUCAACAUAUCUCUUUUUCUUUUCAUUCUCCCUAGGAUAAACAUAUCCAUAGUGGUCAAAUGAAUGCUAAAAAUAACUUGCUCUCUUAUUUUUAAUUUUAUUUUAAAAUAAGUUAUGAAAUCUUAUCUAUUUCACAAAUGAAGAUUCACUUUCUAACUCUUUUGCCCAUGUCAUGCAGGACUUUCAAGUUUUUCCUGCCUUGAUUGUAUUUAUGGGCAAGAAUAGUAUUAUAAAUUAUAACUUCAUGGAAUAGCAAAUAGAAAAAAAUAUUUCGUAAUUUACAUUUUUCAUUUGUCUUAAAAUUGACCAGAUUUUUAAGAAAACAUAUUUGUAUAGGGUCUACCUAAAAGAAACCUUUAGAAAUGAGACUAAUGUAAAAGAAAAAAAUAUGCUGUAGACUUAUUCUUAAAAUCAUCAUGUGCUAUGUAGAGAUGAAGGUGUUAACUUCGGUCCUCAGGUCCAUUUUUAUGUCACUGAUGCGUCCACUGAAUUAUAGGUGUGAGAGCCAUUAUCUCUCAGGAGCACCUUGAAAAAGAGAUGUCUAAUCUCAAUAAUGUGACUUUCCGCAUUAAAUAAAUCCACCAUGUUCAGUAGUUCUUCUUUCUUAAGGGAAAAAAUGUCUUAUCCUUCCUUCCAUUCACCUCUUCUAAUCUUAAAAGAAAAGAACAUCAAAGAAAUUUGAAUUUUUACUAACCAGAAUUGAUUUGUUUCUUUCUACUUGGUAUUCUUUAUCAUACGGUGCGUAUGGGUGUCGUAUGCACGCACGCGUGCGCGUCUGUGUAUGUGUGUGUUAUGUAAUGGAUGAAUAAACUCAGGAGAUUCCAUUUGCUCACUAAAUGUUUACCAUAGAAACUAUUUUCCUUCAUUUUGACUUUUCUCUGUAUUUCUUAUACUAAAGUAUAUGAUUGCGAAAAAAAAGCAAUUGGCCUAAUAAGCCUAGUUUAAUGAACACACCUCUGGGGUAAAUCUUGGGCAAUGCCGAAGAAAGUAUUUAACAAGGAUUUUUGAAUGGCUCAGGAGGCUCUCACUUCUGCUUUGCAGAUGAGAUGCAUUUGAGGAACAUCCUACAAGAGCUUUAGUUUCUUUUAAAAAAUUCUGCUCUACACACUAGUAGACUAGUUCUACGCUAAUAAUAAUGUGUGGCUUGGCAUUUGCCGGAAAGUUUCUGACCAAAAUCUAUUCAAUUUUGGCAUCAAUGUUGUGUCUUCUCCCUUAUAAUUGCAUGAGAUAACGGUUGAUGGAUUAUAUUGAAUGAACACUUGAGCAAUAGAAAGUAAAGAGAAAAUUCCUUUUUCUGUAAAUUUAACUUUAGAUGACUUCUUUCUCUCUCUUUACCCAAAGCAGGAUAUCCAUCCCUCCCGAGCCUCGUGUUCCCUCAACCUCAAAGAAACUGGAAUAAAUAUUGAUAGAAAAAGAACAAAGGAACAAAGGUUUCUAUGUCAAGUCUUAAAAUGUUUCCCUUGAAAUAAUAACAAGAGCACUUGUAUGAGCGCACUGUAGAUGAAUCCAAUGUGCCAGGUCAUGCUUUGGAAGGCUGAGUGUGAGACCAGUAAGAAACCCAUAACUCUCUGUUCUACCCAGUGGUUACCUGACUCUGUGUUUAUGUGUGUAAUGUUAGGUUCUUACAUUCUCAUCAGUAGCCAGCAUGCCUGUUAUUCUGUUUAUACUUAGAGUGAUACCAGAAGUAUCACUUUUCUGUUGAUUAAUUUAUAUUGUCUAAUUCUGUAGCAUGUUGCUAUGCUCCCUGUCCCUCUUAAUUACUUAUUGUGACAAUUAACCGACCAAAAACAGUUUCUCUUGCAAAGAUUUCCAGAGGAAAAAACAAAAACAUAAAAAACAUUGUAAAUGAUGCCAUUUUCUGCCUAAGCCUCUCUUGAGUCCCAGCCAUGAUCGUGUUACUUGUUACAACAGAUCUGCUGGCAAACAAACUCUGAGGGCAACGCAUUGAGACACUGCAGACCUUUAAAUGUGAAGAAUUUAGUCCUAAACAUGUGUUUGUGGGCAUGUGCAAUAUCCACUCCUUUUUAGAAUGUCUCAGACUGACCCCAAACAACCUUUUUACGGAAUCCUACCCUCAAGGACUAGUAUUAGUUAUAUAAUUGCCCUACUAUUACCCUGUCUCUCAGGGUGUAAGUCUGCCUUUGAGACCAUUGUAGUAACUUAAAAUAUUUGUUAACCAGCAAGUAGACAGACUUAGGAUAAGCUCCUAUUCUGGGAGGCAUAAAUUUUCCACUGUACCCAUAAUGUCCAAUUUAACCCCUCAAUAUUUCUCUCAACAACUUUUUUUCCUAUCAAAUCUCAAUAGCAAAAACAAAACAAAACAAACAAUAAUUGAGAGAAAGAAUUGAGAUAGUCUAACGAGAAUACUUCUCUGAAGUUUUAUUGCAAUUCUAGCUAGGAAAAAAAAUAUAUAUAUGGAUAUGUGGUGCUGUUAGGAUCUCUGUGGCAUGUGAAUUAGCACUUAUAAGAGAGCUUUGUAAGGUGUACCUGGGGAGGAACGUUUGGAUUAAAUAAUAAAGAAAGAUAACACAUUGA